UGGAAAAUUGUUUUUGGUGCUUUCUUGGCUGUUUUGAGAGGUCAGUGCAUGUGUCAAAAAAUCUUUACUCCAUGAAAGCAAGGCGUUUUGUAAAGACUAUUGAUUUCGGAGAGGGAUUUUUGACCUCAUGCUGGAAUGUUUGACUAGUCUGAAAAAGACCCAGAUUUCAGACCCAUCAACUGAGGUACAAAUUUAUCUCAUGAAAUCGUUUUGAAUGCUUUACUUUUUCAUCUUUAGGUCUCCCAUGAGCUGUUGGUGUAAGGAUUUACUUGACGUUGUCCUCCUUGUGGAAAAACAACAGUUCACAAAUACAGGUUGCUCUUAAGCCAUUUGAAACCAUUGACCUGAAACUUUGAUUCUGGAAGAAGGCUUCUGGAGAAAAAUUUAAUUAUUCCUUUCCUUUUUCUCAAUGAGGAAAAAAUAGAGCUAAUUUUUUAGCAAUAUAGAAAUAUUAAGGAGAUGCACACACUUUUCCAGAAUUACCUUAUUUAAUACUUAUGUUGUUUUACCUAUAUAAAGAUGUUUCCUUUCCUGUAUAUUCAUUUUGCUUUUCUGUUCCUCUUCACAUCUAUUUAUCUGAGUGCUUCUAGUCUGAGCUCUCCUGGCUCACGCUUCCCCCUUUCUGAUACACUUUUCAAUAUUAUUUCGGGGAAAAAUCUACACAACACUAAAAUGACUGUGUUGGGUUUUGCCUGUCCUAGAUCAGAAAUUCUGUUAUGUAUAGUUGGGUUUUGUUUGAUCCAAAGCAAAGUGUUUCACAGGCUUCCUUUGUGAUCAACAUGUAGGCAGUGCCAAGGGAUGGUCUUUUUUUUACUAAGGAAAACAUUGGAGACACCCAAGAUAAGGGGACAGGGCUCUGAGCACCUGAUGGGGCUCUGUUCAUCACAAGGAUUGAGACUAGAUGGCCUUUAAGGAUCCCUUCAGCUCAAACAAUUCUACAAUUCUAUGAUUCUAUGAUUCUAUGCAAGACAAGGGAUCAACCACACUCCUGGUAUUCCUCCCCAGUGGCUUUAAAGGAGUUCUGCCUCUAAAUGAGAUUCUUAAUUUUUAGGUAUGUGACCUUAAAUGUCUAAAUUACAGCAUAUGAAUCCCAAUUCCAGAACUGGGACUUCUACCUUUAUUAUCUUUAUUUGUAAGAGUGGGUUUUCAUUGUGUUGGGGUUUUUAUUUAUUUAUUUAUUUUGGGUUUGUUUUCUUUUUCCACUGAACUUUCAGAAGGGAAUUGACUAAAUGCUCUACUCUAUCACAUUCAUCUCGGAAAAACAAGGCAGGUAAGAUACUGAGUAUGAGAAGGAAAACUGAAGGAGAAACAGAAUAAAGAGCAGAGGUGCUCUGUGAGACUUUGCCGUUACAGAAGGAGGAAAAAGAAAGGAAGAAAAGGAGAAAGGCCCACUGGAGUAAGCAUUAAGUGGGAGAUGAAAGAUCAACACAAGUUUUGUAAGCUGCCAGUGUGUGUGAUAUCUUGUCACUUGGAUGUUUCUGACUUCACCUUGAAACCCAGGUAUAAUUAUCAUUUUUGUUCAGCAAUUUAGGUGUUUAUCUUAAUCUCCUAGCUAGUCUGAGAACAGCACCCUAAGACAGACUGAGAUUACUGGUGGGGACUAUUGACACUUGUGGUAGAAUGGAGAUGUAGGUGUUUGCAAUCUUCAGCUGUGCUAUGCGGUAAAGCAAGGCUCUACCAAGCAAGCUGGAUAGAGUCUGUGAGGAUUCAUCCAGUAGCACUGCUGCUACUAUGGAAACAUGCUUCUCUGUUGUUGCAGUUGAGAAAAAUACGACUUUAUUUUUUAUGUCUUUCUGGGUGGUUAGAAGCCACAAGCAACUUUUCAUUCUAGUCUCUCCCUGUAGGAUCUUCUCAGGAGGAUGCAAAUGAAAGCAUGAAGACUUCAAAGAGGCUCAGAAAAAAUGAAGACAGAGAAUGAGAGCACAGAAGAAACUGAAGCAGCAGAAUCUUCUUCGAUGAGACAUUCCUUUUGAAAUUUGUGCAAAGAGAAUGCAGCUUUGUAAAGGGAGCUGAGCAUAAUCCUAAACACUGUGAAUAUGAAGAGGCCCCAGGAUGCCUAAUUCAGGCUUUGACAGAGGCAGCAGUUACUGGCCAAGGCGAAUGUGUUCCAAAGGUGGUCCAAUUUUGUGGCAGAUGAUUUUGUGUCUCCAUUUGCUCAAUUUGUUAAUGCAGAAGACCCUGACUUUCAGAAGGCAAACUACCUCUGCAUAGCUCCAGCAACCUCAUCCUUUAUAAUUCAAGAUCUGUGUGCUGACAAAGCUUUCUUGCUCUUGAGCAAUGCCUGAAAAUAGUAGAAAGCAGAUGGUACUUCCUCACUUUCCGUUAGAAACCAACAGAAACACAGGAGCAUUCUGGCUGGUUUUGGUUUUCACUUAGGCACUGGCACAACUGUGAAAAUCUGACUGAGCUCCUUAGUGACUUAAUAUGGGUAAACUUGAAGUUAAAGCAGCCUUCGGACAAGCUCACGUGGAUCAUCGAGAGGGAAAACAUUAAUUAAAAGCAUCAGAGGCUUCUUUCUUUUCUCUUUUCCCAUCCAGAAAUAAUCAGAUGGUGCUGACUGAACUGCAGGAGCUGGUAAGGCUGGAUUAAAAAUGAACAAGGUCUCCAUUCCUUUCAGUGUGUCCUCUAGAGCUGGAUACAACACAUCUCACGUCACAUCCUUUUCCAUCUCCAUUCACACUACGCCCUCACAGGCAGCAUGUACAAAGCUAAUGUUCAUGGCAAUACACCAACACCCUAAGCUAUCAGAUACUCAUAUUUUGAGUUAUGCCCUGGAACAGCGUGGAAGACUCCACAUGUUUAUACAAGUCUAUGCCUUGCCAAGAAGCCAGAAGCAGAAGUCUUCACUGCCAAGAGCUGCAAGGCAUGAAAAGAAAUGCUAACAAAGGUCUUCAUGUGUUACAUUGACUGGUAAAGAUGAAGAAAAAAAGAAUUUUUUUCAUUUUAAUAGAAAUUAAAACAACUCUCAUUUUUAAUAAAUUUGUCCUUGUGCAGUGCAAAUGUGGUCCCUAAUUUCUCCAAACGUGAUCAAUUC